rnacentral:rRNA from 1 species
UACUAGAGUAGCACUCGCAUAUCAAUAAGCGGAGGAAAAGAAACUAACAAGGAUUCCCCUAGUAACGGCGAGUGAAGCGGGAAGAGCUCAAAUUUGAAAUCUUAAAGGGUUUCCCUUUACGAAUUGUAGUUUAAAGAAGUGUUUUCUGUUGAGGUUUUGGUAAAAGUUCUUUGGAAUAGGACAUCAUAGAGGGUGAGAAUCCCGUAUUUGACCUUUACUUUCAACUUUGUGAUACACUUUCAAAGAGUCGGAUUGUUUGGGAAUGCAGUCCAAAAUGGGUGGUAAAUUUCAUCUAAAGCUAAAUAUUGGCGAGAGACCGAUAGCGAACAAGUACCGUGAGGGAAAGAUGAAAAGAACUUUGAAAAGAGAGUUAAACAGUACGUGAAAUUGUCAAAAGGGAAGCGUUUGACGCCAGUGUUGUUUUUCUGAAAAUCAAUUAAAGAACUGUUUAUGCUAAACUGUUUAGACUUUAUCAGCUAUCUGUUUAGUUUUGAGCUUUUCUUUAAUGCACUUUUCAGUUAACAAGUCAACAUCAACUUCUUUUGCUGUAAAAAAGCUUGAGGAAGGUGGCUUGAGAUUCGUCUUAAGUGUUUAUAGCCUCUUGCCUAUGCAGUCGGAGAGAUUGAGGUCUGCAGCGUAGAUCCUUCGGGGCUAAAUGCAUUUGUGCUAAGUUAUAGCAUUUUAUAGACAACUUGUUGACUAUGAUUUGUCUUGUAGCUUACUCGCUUAUGUUAUUUUACCUACGCUUAGGAUGUUGAGUAGCGACAUACGCAC